AUGUAUGAGGAUUGCAAGGUGCCCAAGAAGAGUUUUUUGCUCGUGGUCAUGCUUCGUAUAUCUGAGAGUACAAACAUAAUGGGAACUGUAGUAAAGUGCUUGCAAGUUAUGACACCUCACUUCAAGUCUUCGGCCGACUUUGUUAUCAAAGAGAUCAUUCAUCUCCCUACACAAGAUUUCUCCUAUGUUACAGGGAAUGAUCCAUGGAUCCACAUCCAUGAGAUGUUGACAACAUGGUUUCGUCCAGAGCCAUUAUGCUGUAAGGAUACGAGCAUGACCUCGUUCACUCUUGUCACAGCAGCAGUGACAACAGCAAUGGAAGAGGAAACAAAUUGA
rnacentral:rRNA from 1 species